AACAUGCUGAAACCCCGUCUUUAUUAAAAAUACAAAAAUUAGCCGGUUAUGGUGGCAAGCGCUUGUAAUCCCAGCUACUUGGGAGACUGAGGCAGGAGAAUCACUUGAACUGGGGAAGCGGUGGUUGCAGUGAGCCGAGAUUGCCACUGCACUCCAGCCUGGGCAACAGAGCGAGACCCCAUCUCCAAAAAAAAAAAAAAAAAGUAUGUCCCUUUUCCCAGUUUGUUCUAUGUAUAUUGUUUAUACAUAUAACAAGUAUUUUCCCUUUUCCAAGUUUGUUCUAUGUAUAUUGCAUAUUUUGAGGCUGGUCUCCAACUCCUGACCUCAGGUGAUCAGCCUGCCUCAGCCUCCCAAAGUGCUAGGAUUACAGGCCUGAGCCAUUGCCCUCAGCCUGUUAGUUGGGAUUACAGGCAUGUACCACCAUACCUGGGUAAUUUUUGUAUUUUUUAGUAGACUCGGAGUAGUUUUGCCAUGUUGGCCAGACUGGUCUCAAACUCCUGGCCUCAAGUGAUCCACCCGCCUUAGCCUCCCAAAGUAUUGGUAUUACAGGCGUGAGCCACUGUGCCUGGCCAACUUCUGUGUUUCAUAUAAUUUUUAGUAAAG
rnacentral:lncRNA from 1 species